AUGAACGCUAGCGACAGGCUUAACACAUGCAAGUCGAGGGGCAGCACAGGUAGCAAUACCGGGUGGCGACCGGCGCACGGGUGAGUAACGCGUAUGCAACUUACCUAUCAGAGGGGGAUAACCCGGCGAAAGUCGGACUAAUACCGCAUGAAGCAGGGGCCCCGCAUGGGGAUAUUUGCUAAAGAUUCAUCGCUGAUAGAUAGGCAUGCGUUCCAUUAGGCAGUUGGCGGGGUAACGGCCCACCAAGCCGACGAUGGAUAGGGGUUCUGAGAGGAAGGUCCCCCACAUUGGUACUGAGACACGGACCAAACUCCUACGGGAGGCAGCAGUGAGGAAUAUUGGUCAAUGGCCGAGAGGCUGAACCAGCCAAGUCGCGUGAGGGAUGAAGGUUCUAUGGAUCGUAAACCUCUUUUAUAAGGGAAUAAAGUGCGGGACGUGUCCCGUUUUGUAUGUACCUUAUGAAUAAGGAUCGGCUAACUCCGUGCCAGCAGCCGCGGUAAUACGGAGGAUCCGAGCGUUAUCCGGAUUUAUUGGGUUUAAAGGGUGCGUAGGCGGCCUUUUAAGUCAGCGGUGAAAGUCUGUGGCUCAACCAUAGAAUUGCCGUUGAAACUGGGGGGCUUGAGUAUGUUUGAGGCAGGCGGAAUGCGUGGUGUAGCGGUGAAAUGCAUAGAUAUCACGCAGAACCCCGAUUGCGAAGGCAGCCUGCCAAGCCAUGACUGACGCUGAUGCACGAAAGCGUGGGGAUCAAACAGGAUUAGAUACCCUGGUAGUCCACGCAGUAAACGAUGAUCACUAGCUGUUUGCGAUACACUGUAAGCGGCACAGCGAAAGCGUUAAGUGAUCCACCUGGGGAGUACGCCGGCAACGGUGAAACUCAAAGGAAUUGACGGGGGCCCGCACAAGCGGAGGAACAUGUGGUUUAAUUCGAUGAUACGCGAGGAACCUUACCCGGGUUUGAACGCAUUCGGACCGAGGUGGAAACACCUUUUCUAGCAAUAGCCGUUUGCGAGGUGCUGCAUGGUUGUCGUCAGCUCGUGCCGUGAGGUGUCGGCUUAAGUGCCAUAACGAGCGCAACCCUUGCCACUAGUUACUAACAGGUGAUGCUGAGGACUCUGGUGGGACUGCCAGCGUAAGCUGCGAGGAAGGCGGGGAUGACGUCAAAUCAGCACGGCCCUUACAUCCGGGGCGACACACGUGUUACAAUGGCGUGGACAAAGGGAGGCCACCUGGCGACAGGGAGCGAAUCCCCAAACCACGUCUCAGUUCGGAUCGGAGUCUGCAACCCGACUCCGUGAAGCUGGAUUCGCUAGUAAUCGCGCAUCAGCCAUGGCGCGGUGAAUACGUUCCCGGGCCUUGUACACACCGCCCGUCAAGCCAUGGGAGCCGGGGGUACCUGAAGUCCGUAACCGCGAGGAUCGGCCUAGGGUAAAACUGGUGACUGGGGCU
rnacentral:rRNA from 1 species